rnacentral:rRNA from 1 species
UCAGCGGCAGACGGGUGAGUAACACGUAGGUGUAUCUACCCCAGAGACGGGGAUAACGGGUGGAAACAUCCGCUAAUACCUGGAUAGACUUGUUCGGUCAAAGGGACAAUGGAAAGGCUCCGGCGCUCUGGGAGGAGCCUGCGGGCCAUCAGCUAGUUGGCGGGGUAACGGCCCACCAAUGGCAAAGACGGGUAGGGGGUGUGAGAGCAUGGCCCCCCACAAUGGGACUGGAACACGGUCCAUACUCCUACGGGAGGCAGCAGCAGGGAAUAUUGCACAAUGGACGGAAGUCUGAUGCAGCGACGCCGCGUGGAUGAAGAAGGCCCUCGGGUUGUAAAAUCCUUUACAGUGGUGGAAGAGGAAGGACGGUACCCCUGGAACAAGUGUCGGCUAACUACGUGCCAGCAGCCGAGGUAUGACGUAGGACAGAAGCGUUAUCCUGAUUUACUGGGCGUAAAGCGUCUGCAGGCGGACAGGUAAGUUGGGCGUGAAAGCUCCGGGCCCAACCCGGAGAGGUCGUUCAAUACUGCGUGUCUAGAGGGUGUCCGAGGGGAGUGGAAUUUCCGGAGUAGCGUUCGACUGCGCAGAGAUCGGAAAGAACACCAAUGGUGAAGGCUGCUCCCUGGGGCAACCCUGACGCUAAGAGACGAAUGCUAGGGGAGCGAACAGGAUUAGAGACCCUGGUAGUCCUAGCCCUAAACGAUGGAUGCUGGAUGUGGGGCCAUAGCGCUCCGUGUCGAUGCGAACGCGUUAAGCAUCCCGCCUGGGGACUACGGCCGCAAGGUUAAAACUCAAACGAAUUGACGGGACCCCGCA